rnacentral:lncRNA from 1 species
UAUGACUACACCACUCAUGACCAGCCAUUUGCCCCAAAGCAACAAGGCAAGCAAACCCCCUUGAUCAGUCUUAUAUCACCUAUUCUUUCUCCCUCAUGCUUGCAUUAGAUUUUGCUACUGUUGUAGAUAGCUCUUAUUCUAAUGCAUAGCCUAUUUUUGAUGAACUACUACUUUACUCUUCUGCACUUUAAACUGCUUAGUUUAGGUGGAGUAGUGAUCCCCUUUAAAUAGCUUUUUCAUCAAGUCUUGAUCUACUCAUCAAUGAGGCAAGACCCGUCACAUCACUCA